rnacentral:rRNA from 1 species
GAUGAACGCUGACAGAAUGCUUAACACAUGCAAGUCGAUGGGGAAGUGGUGCUUGCACCAUGGCAACCAUGGCGGACGGGUGAGUAACGCGUAAGGGACUUACCUGCAGGACUGGGAUAACAGGGGGAAACUCCUGACAAGACCGGAUAAUGUCAUGGAGCUGCAUGGCUUUAUGAUGAAAGGAGACGCCUGCGGAGAGCCUUGCGUCCUAUUAGCUAGUUGGUGAGGUAAUGGCUCACCAAGGCGAAGAUAGGUAGCCGGCCUGAGAGGGGGGACGGCCACAAGGGGACUGAGAUACGGCCCUUACUCCUACGGGAGGCAGCAGUGGGGAAUAUUGGACAAUGGGGGCAACGCUGAUCCAGCAAUUCUGUGUGCACGAAGAAGGUUUUCGGAUUGUAAAGUGCUUUCAGCAAGGAAGAAGUAAGUGACGGUACCUGCAGAAGAAGCGACGGCUAAAUACGUG